ensembl:lncRNA
CUAACAAUCGCCUUGUGAAGGAAACGUACUCUUACUCCUUCUGCAGAUGUGGAGACAGAGGCAGAAAAAAAAGCCAUGCCCAAAGUGACACAGGUUUGAACUGAAACAUUAGUUCUUCCUGGGUCUCAAGCCUGUGGGCCUCCAGACUGGAAGUACACCGUUGGCUCUCCUGGGUCUCCAGCUUGCCAAUUUACCCUGCGGAUCUUGGGAUUUGCCAGCUGCCAUAAUUUUAUGGAGGAAGAGGGGCCGUGAGACGUGAGAGAGCCAUGAGGCAGAUUCUCCCCUGGAGCCUCCAGAAAGGAGUAUAGCCCUGCUGCCAUCUUGGUUUUAGCCCAGUGAAGCCUGUGUUGGACUUCUGACCUACAAUACGUAAGAGAAUAAAUUUUUGCUGUUUAAAACCACUAAGUUUGUAGUAACUUGUCACAGCAACAAUAGUAAACUAAUAUACUUGGCAUUACACAGGGGUAGAAGGUAGGAAACUGGUCAGAGAGCUUGAGCUGGGGGAGUGGAGUAUAUAAAGGUGAAUCAGUAUGGGGGCCCUGUCCAAACACAGGAGAAGAGUUAAAUUGGGCAAAAUGGUAAUGAAUAUUUGCUAAAACAGAAGGAAAGUAAAAAUUCUACUAUGAGGGCCCAUUUGGGAAAGUGGAAGAGCCUGGGUUUUGGAAACAAGUGAUCUGGCUUUAAAAUCUGACUCCAUUGCUUCAGCUCUGUGACCUGGGCAAGUUAGUUAAUCUCUCUGAGUCUUAGAUCCCUCAUCCAUAAAAUACCACACAGAGGCCACCAGAUUAAGAUGCCCAUCAUCCCAUUGAUUAUCUCUAAGUUCAGAUAUUAGCUAACUACACAAUCUUUCUGAGUAUUCAUAACCAAAGAGAAGUGCCCAGUGCUAGGAGUACUAUUAAUGGUAACUAAUAUCAUCUCCAAAAGGUAGGUAUCGCCAAGCCUACUACAGUUUUGUUUCUCUGAACUAAGCCAUUGAACACUCUUUAGAAAGAAAUCAUACAAUUAGUGUUAAUGCAGAGCCAUAUAGUAAAAAUUUCAACGUCAGGGAGUGGAAUUUUCAUAGGAACAUAUGCUUGAAACAAGAAUCAGGAUCAGGCCUAAGGAUUGAGAUAUUCUUCGCAGAAAUAUUUUUAGAUACCCCUCUAUCCCUUAUGAAUUUCAAAUUUACUCCUCAAUCAACCAACCAAAUCCCAAAUUAUAUUUUUUUUAAUUUUUACUUUAUGCCCCUUAACAAUCUUGAUGUAUAAGAAUGGAUGCUUCAAAGUCAAUAUUCCCAGCCCAGAACUCAUUAUCUGUCCACCGCUGCCUCCAAAACUGCUCAUCUGUUCUUUUAAUUUCAGUGAGUGGCAUUAUCUUUUGUCCAAUAACCUACUGGAGACCUGGGAGUCACCAAUUUCUGUUGAGACCACCUCCUUAGCAAUCUUUCUACUUAGCCUCUCCUCUUUGUCACUGUGUCUUCAUCAUUUUUCACCUAGAAGAAGAAAUGGUGCUGUAGUUUCUCUUCCUGCCCUAAAUCUUGUCUCCAUCCCUGCUCUAAUCUAGUAUCAACCCACAUUCAAGCAUGACCUUUCUAAAUUAAUGGUUUGAUCAUAUUAUUUUCCUGUUUAAAAUCUUUCAAUGGCUCUUUGCUGACUAUGGGUGUUGUGGAUUGGAUUGUGUCUCUCCCAAACUUAUAUGCUGAAUCUCUAACCCCCAAUGUGACUAUAUUUGGAGAUAGAGAUAUUAGGGGGUAAUUAAGAUUAAAUGAGGUCAUAAGGGUGGUGCCCUGGUCCGAUAGGAUUGGUGGCUUUAUGAGGAGAGACACUAGAGAGCUUUCUCUCUCUGCCGUGUAAGAAUACAGCGAGAAGAUGGCUGUCUGCAAGCCAGGAACUGACCCUGCUCGACCUUGAUUUGGGAUUUAUGGCCUCCAGACCUGUGAGAAAAUAAAUUUCUGUCAUUUAAGCCACCCAGUCUGUGAUAUUUUGUUAUAACAGUCUGAAGAGACUAAUACAAUGAGAUAAAGUCUGAACACAUCAGAAUAGUAUGGAAGGCCUUUUCCUUCUAGUUCCCAUCUGCCUGACAGGUCAUGCACAGAACUUUUCCUUACAUACUCUUAAUGGAGGUUCCUGAUCCACCAUGCUCUUUGGGGCACAUGUCCUUCCCUCUGUUGGGAAUAGCCUGUUUUUUUCUCUUUCAUCCUUCAUUGUUCCCUUUAGCAAAUGCAGUUAAAAUUCCAUUUUGUGUUCUUCUAGUACUUGAGACAAGCCUGUCUCACCACAGUAAAAUGUGUUAUAAUUAUUCCUUAUCCUAUCUACUUCCCCCAAAUGACAAAUUGAGGGAGAGGGGGAGGGGUAUUCUGUCUUAAACAUCUUUGUAAUGUCCAUGGAACACAGCACAGAUCCUGGCACCUUGUAGAUUUUUCAAAAAUGUAUGUUGAAUGGAUGAAUUAACAAAUGAAUUACACAUGAAGCGAGGCCUCCCAUGCUCUUAGGAUAAAUACCAAGGUCCCUCACAUGGCCUGCAUACCUUUCCAGCCUCGUUUAAUUCCAUCUCUGCUAGGUACCAGCCACAGGAGCUGCCUGUCGUUCCACACUGCCUCCUGUCUCAACUCCUUUGUGCAUUUGCUCCCCUCUGCCUGGAAUGUGCCCCCUGCUUUAACCAAUCAUGAAACCAGUGAGCAACUACUUAUCCUUCAACUUGUAGCUAAAUGGCUCCCUAGGGAAUGUUUUCUUGACAUCUUGUCCCCCAAACACAAUUGCUUUCAUUGACCUUUGUUCACAAAGCACCUUACUGUUUUCUUCCUAAUACUUAAUCCAGUGUGCUAUGCCAUGCUUGUUUGAUUAUAGAGUUGAAGUGGGGCCUCCUGAGAGGAGGGAGGUCUCGUCUGCUUGUUCGUGUAUUUUGUUUUCAGCUCUCUCUCCCCAGGACACAGAACAGUGCCGAGCACAGAGCAGACACUCAUAGUAAUACCAUGAGGUGGUAGAUAACUGAGUGCUAAGUAAAUUGCAAAGAUACGAAUCAGACUCUACUUUUUGUUAUUUUUUCUCUAUAUCAUUUCAUUCACUUGAAAUUAUCUUAGAUUAGAACAAAUCAGAUCUUAUAUCUCCGUGGCUUCACCUUUGCAAUCCCUUGGUUUCUGUCCACACUUGAACAAAGGCUAGAGUAUUCAGGCUGCAGAGGAGCAGGUUUUAAGGUGAAGGCUGUCCAUGUGGACCCAAAGCCCCGCAGGACCAAUAGAUGAGGGGGCCUAAGGGGCUCCACUAUCAGGAAGACUUUUGGAGGAGCUAGAACCCAUGCCUUGCCUUGAAGUGUGGGCAGAGUUGGACUGUAGAGAAGGGAAGUAUGAGAGAAGAGCAAUUUUGCAGCCCUGGUAGAUUUUGAACCCACCAUAGCCUGGUGGAUAGCAGUUUUAGUUCUGGAAUCUGACUUCUCAGGUUCAAAUCCUGGCUCCAUUGGCAGUGACCCCAGGCAACCUUAUUAGCUUCUCUGUGCCUCCGUUGUCUUAUCUGCUGAAACAGAGGUUAGGAAUAGUCCCUGCCUGAUAGGAUUGUUAAGAGGAUUCAAUGGGUUAAAUAAUGUAAUGGGUCUAGAACAGCGCCUGGCACAUGGGAUGCUUCCAGGAAACGUUAUUCUAUUCUAGUGUUAGCCACACUUGGUGUUUUUAAUACAUGUAGUGAAACAUUCAUUACUAUAUUACUCCUGACCUCCUCCCUUGGAUGAGUGGAGUAACUCAUGGGAGAGGUUUGAGGGAGAAACUGGCCUUAUGUAGAAGCAUCUCUUCCUCUUAGGGGCCAUCUAGGGGAUGUGUGUUCAACUCAGCUCCUCCAGAAUCAGAUUUGCCCUGGCUCAGAGCUGCGUGGCUGGUGGAUAAUUCUGACCAAUUCUGGGAUUCAGUGUUAGAAGGUCCAAUUGCCUGUGGAUAUAAGCAAAUUCUCUAAUAUCAGCUUAACAGUCAUCAAACUUUGGCCCCAUCUGCCUGCCUCCUUUGUUUUAUUUCUCCAUUGAAUUGGAACUUAGACAAGAAUGAGGACAGCUGUUUAUUGGGUCCUCUGAAAGACCCCCAACAGGAUCACAUUUAAAUUGAAUAGGAAGGCAUGAGACAAUGAAUGGCAGGGGUCUUAGUGUCCCAAGAGCAGAAGGUUCAUGCUGAGAAAUUGGGAGAAUCAAAACAAAAGUCAGUGUCCUUUGGGAUGGUCAUGGGUGUGACUUCCUAAAUUUUAGAGUCCUCAGGCUAAGUUAAUCCCCAGCCUAGCAGCCAGGGGAUGCAAAUGUUGGAACUCAGAAAGUGUCAUGGCAUCUAUUUCUAUUUAUAGAGGACCUGUUAUGAGCUCAGAUCCCCAGCAGUGAUUCAUUUCAACGUGUAUUUGUGUGUGGAACCCAAAGGUGUGGCAUGAAGUACAAAGAUAGCACUCACAAUAGAGUACUCAGAUUAGAGAGGCAGAUACAGUUAGUGAGCUGUAAGACCACACAAACAGAACAGACAUUCUCAGGCCAAGGGACAAUUAUGGGCAGAUAACUGUCAAGCAUUGCAUGGACUAAGCUAUCUAACCCAAUUGUUUAAGAUGACUUGUAAACUAAACUGGGAGUGAACUUACCAGCAAGGACUGGGAGUACGGGCCUUGAAACAAGGAAAGGACAUCACAGGGCAGAUGGUUGUGGCAGGAUGAGGACACAGAAAGGGACCAGCAGAACUUGGUCAAUGCAAAGUGGAAGAGCAAUCCAGAACAGAUGUUCUUCUCUCUGCCACACCUGGCUAAAUAUUUAUAUGAGUGCUGAUCAGAAAUAAAUGUUAGACUGCAUUGCAGGCUUUUGGUAGUUUGAAUAACUUUGCUUAAGUCACUUGUUUAGUGAAAUAGAUUUAUAUGCACUUUACCCCACAAUGUAGUUUUAGGUGAUUCUUAAAUAAACCUAUGUUGUCAUUACAAUAUCUGUGUCAAAGGAUCCACACAGGUAUGUGUGUCUAGAACUGUGUAAGCUGUGUAGACCUUACUUUAUUUCAGUCAGGUAACUGGUAGACAGUGAAGGCAAAAUCAGCUAAGCAGAUCAUGUUUAUGGAUACCUUUUAAAGCUGUCUUAGUUUAUGAGUCCUAUUUCUAAGCAAAUAAAUUAAAGUUCUUAUCAUAGAAGAUGUGUUUAGUCAAAUGUUCAGAUAUCACUGAAAAUAGUAGCAGCAGUGGAGCUGAUGGAGUACUGGAAAGAGACAUAAAUAUAGUUAAUUAGAAUAAAUAAUUCUUCUUAAUUUCCUUCCUUCUAUCCUUCCUUUCUUCCUUCCUCUCCUCCCCCUAUUUCCUUACUUCCUUCCCACCAUGGCAAGACAUUGCAGGUUGGGUUCCCUGGGAAGCUGACACUGAAAAGCAGCUUAACAUGCAGGAUGUUUACUGAAGAGUUCUCUUGGGAUGAACACCUGGGAAAGGAGAGGAAGGAAGAAGGACUGGGCAGGGGGAGAAGCUGAGCUGGGAUGCAAGCCUGACAGCCUCAUCCAACCCCAUGAGGAGCUCUGGAGCUAGAAGGGAUCUUCAGUAUUGUCCUGAUCUAGACCAAGACGGCCAGGAGUUUUUGUAAUUGCACACUGAUCCAUCAUUGGAUGUGGGGUUCCUAGAAGGGUCUAUGAUCUUGAUUGAAGGGGCAUCUCUGCAGUUGAGACAUCCCUGAAGGGACAGAGAGCUGCAGACAUCUGUCCUCAACACUCUCAGGCUGGAACAGCAAUUGAAGGGGCAUCUGGGCAGCAUAUCACACAGUGUCCACCACAUAUGUCCUCUGUAGGAUAUUUGAAGGGGACUAAUCUAACAUUGGUAUCUAAGAAAGGUAUGAAGGAGAAGAAGGAGAAAGUACUGGAAUCAAGGAGGUUAACCAUUGGGCCACUGCAAGAGUCUAGGAAUGAUGUGGUAAGGGUGAGAAUGGAGAAGGAGGGAAAAUCAAGAGAUGGAUGCAAAUCCACUGCAAAUUGGCAAUCAAGAGAACUAAUGUCUCUGCAGAAUGAAUGUAGACAACAAGGUGACCAAAAACUAGACCUUCUACUUGUGUCUUCAGUGCACGCUUGAGUCUAAUUUUCUUGAUGGGAAAGUUUUCCCUGAACCGACACAACCAGCAGGUGCAAUACACGGAAUAUAUUUCCUUUUAAUCCCUUGUUUUCCUCAGUCAGCUCUCAAGGCAGCUUUGUAUAAUUAUAGAAUGGAAGAAUUGAUUUCAAAUUUUGGCUCUGAUGUGUCUUUUAUGUUUGAUCCUGGUCAAGGGUUUUAAGCUUUCUGAACCCAAGCUUCCUUGUUCAUAAAAUGGUAACAAUGCUAUCUACCCUUCUCAAGGUGGUUAAAAGUAUGAAAAGGAGAUAACAUAUAUGUGAAAAGCAUUUAACACAGUGCCUAGGGCAUAGUAGUUCUUAAACAAAAUCAGUUUUCUUCUCAUGAAAACGGAGACUAAAUCGAACAUUCUAGACUGCUUCAUUGGACCAAGUUUUGAAAGACAAUCUUGUGGGAGAAUAGUCUUUGCCCAGCUUUUAUGUGCAGAGCAAUAAUAUAAAAAAAAACUCCUGGUUUUGAAGUGAAAUAAAUGCAUGAAACAUUCAUCUUUCAGCUCAGACCCAGAAUGUUGAAAUCUGCCUGGAGCAAAAUUUCAUGGCUGAGCAACAGCCCCAGAAAAUAACAUUCUAAGUUUAAAGUUCUGCACCAACCUUCACAUUCCAGACUUAUUUAAAGGAACAUUUUAAGUCUACCAUGAAGUGGCAAUUGAGUUGAUGAAGUUUUUGCUGAAGGAGAAAAGAAGUCAGGUAGCAAGAUUUGUAUUGUUUGGUUUUAGUAGCUUCCUAUCUGGUGAAAAUUAGAAAUGAUCUUUAAGAGAGAAUGUAAUAGGAAUGUUUUGGGUGGACCUCAUGCUGCAGCAGUGUCCUGAGGCCCCCACCAUGUGGAGGCCCCCUGAACAUAUAGAUGUUGCACAUAGAGCAGGGGUCCUCUCCUGAGAGAUGUGCAGUCUAGUGGGGAGACCUCCAUGAAAAUGUACCUUUCUCUAAAUACCAAACAGAAAGGGCUUUGGUCUGACCCAGUUGUCCAUUUGACACCCAAAGCAGAAAGUCUGGGGCCUAUGAGUUUUUCAUGGGCUUAAACACAAAUGUCUGAAUCUGAGAAAAGAGCAGCUCCACAGGGCAGAAAGAAAACUUCAAAAUCAGAAAUGAAUAAACGUGAAGUUAAAUGUUUGUAAAAUUUUACUUUAUGACAGCUAGCCAACCAUAACUCAACAUACAGACCUACAUAUAUGCAUUUAUAUAAAAUAUUUACUUGU